AUCCUUUGGUAUGUACGACUGAGGAAAAAGACACAGAUGAACAAUAUUAGGGAUGAGAGCGGGGAUAUGAUUUCAAAUAUGGAAGAGAUGUUAAAAUAGUGGUAUGUGUAAAUUUUAUGGUAACAUAUUUGAAAAUCUAGAUGAAAUGAAUGCUUAGUAGGAAAAUAUAUCUUCUCAAAGUUCUCUGAAGAAGAGGCAAAAAACUUUACUAAUAAAGAGAAAAAUAUUAAUAAUGGAGAAAGAUACUAUUAGAUUGGUGCAAAAGUAAUUGCCAUUACUUUUAAUCGCAGAAACUGCAAUUACUUUUGCACCAACCUAAUAUAAUUAAAAUACAAUAUCUAGAUGAUUUUUAAGGAGCUCAUGCAUAAAACCGUAAAAGAAAAACUUAAUGUUACUUAAACUGUUCCAGAACAGGAAAAAUCAGAAAUAGCUGCAGUUCAUUUUACGAUUCUAGCAUAACCAUUACACCCAAACCUGACAGAGGUGGCAUAAAACAGAGACCAAUCACAUUAAUAAAUCAAGAUGCAGGGAUUCCAAAUAAAAUAUUAUCAAAUAAAACUCAUUGGCGUGUCCUGAUAAAGCACAGACUUCCUUGAUGUGAUAAAGGAUACAUAUUAGAAAAUUAAAACAAUGUUCUUAAUAUUGAAAUCCUAUUAAAUAGGAACAAAUCAAGAAUAUCUGACAUACUGCUAUCAUUUAACACUAUGCUGAAUGUGAUAAAGCAAGACAACAAAUGUGGAAUAUUAAAGAUGCAUAUCACAGUGUCAUUUUUGCAGGUGAUAUGAUUAGUUAUCACAUUAGUGAUAUAAUUAUAACAGUAAUCAUCAGCUAGAAAACACAAUGGAAAAAAAGGGCAAUUUACAAUAACAGCAAAACUAUAAAACACCUAGGAAUAAACUUAGAAAUGUGUAAGACUUAUAUGAAUAAAACAUAUUUGACUCUGUUAAGGGACAGCCCCACACUGUGGUAUCCGCAAGCUAAAUACUCAUAUUUCUCAGAGUGCUAUAAAGUGCUUCCAGAGGAGCUAACGUCACUAAAAGGAAAUGCAAGAUGAUUCCCCCAGUGAAAGCCUUAGAAACCUGCCUCUAUAUUGGGUAGAACCGAGGCUGCCCAUGUGCCAAGGAAAACACUCUUGAGCUUGUCUUUCCAACCCUAGGUUCCUUGGGCCCUCUGGAAGGAAGAAGGCAUCUGAUUGUGAAUUUAUUUGUGGUUUUCAGGCUCAGGUGUUUUGAUCUCUCCCUGCCUUUCUCAACGGAGAUGAGAGGAUGUGAGUCCUCAUGGGGAGGUCGCAGGCUUUCAGUGGGCAGGGGCUCCUCCUACUCCAUGGCAGGAGCCAUCUCUGUGGGCUCCACCCUUCUCCAGGACACCCUGUGGACACAAGGCACUUGGCCUGGCCAGAUCCAGCUGGCCCAGCAGCAGCCCUGCCUCUUGCAGCCCUAACGCCCUGGUCAGGGUCUGUAGGCAGCGCUAUUCCCACCAAGCCUGGGAGCCAGUCUCACCCAAGGCAGGCCAAGCACUCAGCCCUCAGCUCUGCCAGCAGCGGGUGAUGGAAUAGCCAGUGCUCUUGUUAGUCUGGUCUUGUGUGGUGGGGUGGGAUGGGAAGGUAGGGGAGAGCCUGGGCCGUCACUGGCUGGGGUCAGCUUCAGAUUGGAAGGCCUGCCUACACCUACUCUCCUUGUAUUGCCUCUCCUCUGCCCAUGAGACUCAACUCCCUUGGGAAAGGACCCAAGAAACUUGACCCUCUGGACUGUGGUCUCCCGGUCACCUCCUUGAGACCCAUCCUUCUGCUCUGCACCAAUUGGUGCACUGGUUCUCCAGCAGCAAUUUUACUCAAUUCUGACUUCCCCUUCUGCUACACCAGCAGGCCUUGUGGCCAAUGCUCCCCUCAUUAGGACAUUCUGGCUACAUCGUCAGAGGAUGCUCUGCAGGGAACAGAGGCCGAAGUGGCAGGAAAGCAUGUCUGCUGACCAAUUAGAAGAAGCAAGGACCCUGAAGGAAGGUGGCAGGUCAUUGGGGAGAGGAAGCUGCAAGGGCACAGGGUGAUGUGCUUAGGAACCAGCUCACUCAGUGAUGUGCGCCGCCAUCAUGACAGGGCCUUAGCAUCACAAAUACUCACUGAGGACCUCCCACAUUCUAGACACAGGGGUAUACAGCAGAACCAGACAGGCACAGGCCCUGAACCCAUGAGGCAUGCAGCCUGGCAGAAGAGGGACAUUCAACAGAGGCAUUAAUUACACAAACGAUUAAGGGCAUGAAACUGCUAAAAAAAAAAAAAAAAAAAAAAAAGUAAUCCUCUAGCAUACAUUUACGUGGGGGAAUCAUCCUCAGGUGCCACUGAGAGACCCCAAAGGAAUCAAGAGGUGAUGCUCUGACUCACUCUUUUGCCCACCAUCUUCUCACAUUCAUUUGUAGAUUGCUACUUCCAGAAAAGAACUGGAGUGUGCUCAGAGGGAAGCCCAAAUGCCUUGCCUAUUAAUAAACCCCAAAGCUGAAUAGAUUUUAUUACAUUCAAGGGUACAUUCGGGGAAAGAAAAUCCAAAAAGGAUAAUACGAAAGAAUACUUCCAAGUAAUGGGUUUGAACUGCAUGUAGGAGAAGUAGAGGGAUAAGAGAGACCACACCUCCCCACACAGUCUAUUCCAGGAUCUGGAAGAAAGUUCAAACAGCUUUUCUUUUGAAUACAGUACAAGAAGACAAGGUUUCUGUGAUAAGAGAGAACUGUCAGAGAUGAAACUGCGGGUGGAUGCGAUGGAAAGAGAGAUGCAUGAGAUAUGAAAAAAAAUCAAAGAAUACUAAAAACAUGGCAGAAGAAUUAAAAAAUUAAACAAUAAGGAGUGAGGCAGAUACUGCGGAGAUUUGCAUCAUGGAUGUGGUGGGCAAGGUUGGCAAGCUCUCCCUCAGUGCCAAUGAAAAGAGAAGGGGAAGAAGGGGAAGAAAGAACAUAAGGGGACACAGGGGCCUGAGAACAGAGAGAUGACCCAGAGAAGGGUGUUUUCCUGAAUUCAAGUAGUUAGCCAGAAUGUAUCUAGGGAUAGAACUCAGAGUUUAUCAGGCUCCAGGAAAGAGAUCUAUCUAUCCCUAGAUACAUUCUGAGUUUAUUAGGUUCCAGGAAAGAAAUCUAUUCCUAGACCCAUUCUGGCUAAACACUUGAAUUAAAAACAAAAACGAAAACAAAAAACUCUUGCAAAGACUCAGGCAAAACACAAAAAGCAAAAAAUAAAAAAAUAAAAAAACCAUAAAAGUGACCCCUGACCCUCUUUAUUUCCCUUUCCCCUCCGCUGUAAUUGAAUUAUACACUCCACCAGACCAGCUAUGAUGCUGUAUGGUAGCUGCUGUCCUUCCCACCUGCUUCCCUGUGGGAGGAGGAGCUUCUAGAAGGCAGGAAGGAUUGUUUACCCAUGAAAUAUUAGUGGACAUCUGAUGAUAUGUCAAUUGCUUUGAUUUUUCUUUUAAGAAGGAUAUUUUCCCUUAGUAAUUAUGGUACUUAGAUAUAAAGACCCAAAGAGAUAGGAUUUUGGAUGCCAUAAAAUUCUGGUCAACGCACUUUUUUUUUUUUCCAUAUAAAUCUAUGGGGUUGUUUCACCAUCACAGACCGGCGGCAGCAGCAGCUGUCAACUUCUGAAUUCACUCUUUUUUUCUCUCUUUUUUUUUUGAGACGGAGUCUUGCUCUGUUGUCAGGCUGGAGUACAGUGGUGCGAUCUCUGCUCGCUGCAACCUCUGCCUCCUGGGUUCAAGCAAUUCCCCUGCCUUAGCUUCCCGAGUAGCUGGGACUACAGGCGUGUGCCACCAUACCCAGCUAAUUUUUUUUGUAUUGUAGUAAAGACAGGGUUUCACCAUGUUGGC
rnacentral:lncRNA from 10 species